CACCAGAAGCACGCAGGGCACAUUGAAACUGGAACAACAAUAAUAAUAAUGGAUUAGAUGUGUUGGCGGAGAGUUGGUGUGGGUCCAUCUGAUGUACAUUUGAAGCGGCCUGAACCUGCAGCCGCCUAGACGCUGGGUUACCUGGCUGUCAAUCGCUGCAAUCAUUUGACCUUCAUAACGCUCGCCAGGAGAAGAGAGCACUCUUUUGAGUUGAGCUACGUGUCAAGGUGAAACAAACGGACUGAACCCUGCAACACUAACAUCUGGAGAGCCUACUUUUCUUUUCGUCAGGAAAUUCUGCCAUGAAUCAAUGAGGUUGUGCGCCUGGUUGAUAUCCACAAUAGCUUCUGCGAGUUUCACUAAAGAGCUUUAUAUUACUAUUGUAAUCCAUUAUCCAUGUCCAAUGGGCCUGUAGUCAUGCUAUCAGAAAGACAUCCUUAUGUAGAGC
ensembl:lncRNA